rnacentral:rRNA from 2 species
UCGAACGGGAUUUAGUAGACAGAAGCUUCGGUGGAAGAUUACUAAUGAGAGUGGCGAACGGGUGAGUAACGCGUGAGCAACCUGCCUAUGACAGUGGGAUAGCCUCGGGAAACCGGGAUUAAUACCGCAUAAAAUCGUAGAAACACAUGUUUUAACGGUCAAAGAUUUAUCGGUCAUAGAUGGGCUCGCGUCUGAUUAGCUAGUUGGUGAGAUAACAGCCCACCAAGGCGACGAUCAGUAGCCGGUCUGAGAGGAUGAACGGCCACAUUGGAACUGAGACACGGUCCAAACUCCUACGGGAGGCAGCAGUGGGGAAUAUUGCACAAUGGGGGAAACCCUGAUGCAGCGACGCCGCGUGAACGAAGAAGGUAUUCGUAUCGUAAAGUUCUGUCCUAUGGGAAGAUAAUGACAGUACCAUAGAAGAAAGCUCCGGCUAAAUACGUGCCAGCAGCCGCGGUAAUACGUAUGGAGCGAGCGUUGUCCGGAAUUAUUGGGCGUAAAGGGUACGCAGGCGGUUUAAUAAGUCGAAUGUUAAAGAUCGGGGCUCAACCCCGUAAAGCAUUGGAAACUGAUAAACUUGAGUAGUGGAGAGGAAAGUGGAAUUCCUAGUGUAGUGGUGAAAUACGUAGAUAUUAGGAGGAAUACCAGUAGCGAAGGCGACUUUCUGGACA